GGCCAGACUCCUACGGGAGGCAGCAGUGGGGGAUAUUGCACAAUGGGGGAAACCCUGAUGCAGCGACGCCGCGUGAGUGCAGAAGUAAUUCGUUACGUAAAGCUCUAUCAGCAGGGAAGAAAAUGACGGUACCUGACUAAGAAGCCCCGGCUAACUACGUGCCAGCAGCCGCUGUAAUACGUAGGUGGCAAGCGUUGUCCGGAAUUACUGGGUGUAAAGGGAGCGUAGGCGGGAGGAUAAGUUGGACGUAUAAACUGUCGGCUCAACCGGUAGAGGCGUUCAAAACAGUCCUUCUUGAGUGAAGUAGAGGGAAGCGGAAUUCUUAGUGUAGCGGUGAAAUGCGUAAAUAUUA
rnacentral:rRNA from 1 species